AUUGUCACUAGGCUGGGAAUACAUACAAGAAGCUCUCUAUCUCUUUCUCUUAGUUAGCCAGGUUAAACUUUAGUUUUCGAUUCCGCGACUCUGAGAAUCACAAACUAGAAAUAUCAUAAGAAAAGAGAAAAGAAAAUAACUAAAAGAGGGAAAGACUCUUUAUUACACGAGUACGAGCGUAGAGUAAGGAGCUGUAGUUGGUCGCCUCUCCUUUCAGUCGAGUUACUUCACCCCUAAACUGGAAGAAAAAUCGAAUAACUGAACCUGUAAGCCAUAUAGACCACUUUAUAGCCUGUUCAAAAGGGAUUGAAUGUGUUAAUUUGAUUGAAAAUGUGUAAGUCAUAAGAGAAGGGAGAUUUAACAGAAAACCUUUAUUUGAAAUAGCAGAAAAAGUAGAGCAAGAAGCUUCCCAUUCUGAGGCUGUGAAGGCCGCUUAAGCCGCAUUAUUUACGUAAUUCUUUGAUCGGAAUCUUACCCCCUACCCCCACAAGGGAAUAAGAGCUCCGAAAAAGGAUAUCUAUAGCUGUGGAGAGGGAAGCGCUUAGAAGCUAUGCUCUUCUUGAAGAAGUGGGGACAUAUCCCUAUCGAGGGUUUUUUCUUCUUAUUUUUUCUAUUUUAUUUAUAAAAGUUUGAUUUUUUCUUUCUUUGUGGAAGGGGAGCAGUUCGGUGCAAGCACCAACUGAGAAUAGAGACUGACAAUAGAGGAUUUCCAUUCAUCUUCCUAUCUGCUAAAGAAGUCAGAUCUCUGCCACUGACGGCAAGCCUUGAUAGGUAUGGCAAGGAAGGUCUCUCUUUCUCUUACGAAAUUUCUCAGUGUGGAGUGAGGUCUGAAUUCUCAAUUUAGCUAUUGCGUACAAUCUCAGAUUCUAACCUAGCUAUCUAGAAAAUAUUGGAAUGAAAACUAAGAACUUAGCAAAGAGAGAUGGGCUCAGGGUCCUGAAGUCAAAAGUGGACACUCUGACGGAUAUCCUCCUGAGUCUGGAACAGCGAUUCGAAAUGUUCGGAAUGAAGCUGUCAAUCAUAAACCAUAACACUACCAAGAAGAACCUCCUAAAGCAAAGGCCCUUCACGAGGAUCGAAACUCUCGCGCUUACUAUCUAUCGAAGCCUCUAUAGAUUGGUGCGGGACUCGUUUGCUAGUCUUACGGGCCCACUUUGGCUCUUACAGCUUUGCCUGCAUGCGUAUUUUCCUGAGAUUGCCCCUGAGGGUUCUUCUGUUCCUCCUGAGGUCGAUUCGGUAAUGGUUACCGUUACAUCAACGAUCAGCCUCCUCAGAAGAGUUUUGCUACCUGUUUGGACUUUUUCUUCAAUCUGGGCACCCUACCAACCAGACGGAUUCCAGCCUUUCAAGGACCUUGCUCGAGGCCCGGGUUAUCUUAGAAGCUUCUCCCGGCAGACAAGAUCGCUCAGAAAAAAGAUUCUCAGGCCUGGGUUUCUUAGUUUGUAGAGAUAUACACUUCGGUCUGCAAUACCUCGAUGAAAGCCAAUCAGGAUGUGAACAAAUGGCAUGUCAUGAAGAGGUUGAAAGGCUUGUACGCCCUGGUAGAUGCUCGAUCUAACAAUAAAGGACGGCUAACUGCCUAGAAGUUGUUCGCGGUGCCUCAAACCGGAAGUCCAAAGCUCUUAAACCCUCUGUCAAGGCCAGUGAAGUUCAGUGGUUCUAGAUUCCGUCCGGAGAGUCAUUUUUGUCAAUUUCUUUCUUUUUAUGUAUUUCUGGUAUUUUUUUCUUAUUAUUUCUAAAGAGUUGAUCAAAGUUAAGAGUAAUUUUGCAAUGUAAUUGUUGAUUUAGUUUUUAUGCUUGGUCUUCAGUGAAAAGAUAAGAAGAAGGAAAAUGACAAUAGCUAACCAACUGAGAAAAAUUACAUAACAACAUGUUCUAACCUCAUUUUUGAAUUUAAGUAUAAUAAAUAAAGGCGAUAUUUUAUAGCGACUGCCGGACCAUUCCAUUCAUUGUCUUCUUCUCAACCUCUUCCUGCAAGUUGUUCAGAGAUCUUUCCCGGUCGGCUAUUCCAUUAUGGGCUUUCUUUAUUCCUUUAUUCGGCUAAGGGAGUUACCUUUAGCCUUGUUACCACCGGACCAAGCGAGGAUUCGUAUCAGUUGAUGUAAUUGCCCCGUUUGCAUUACUCCUUAUUUGCCUGGUCCCUUCUUCUUCUUAUGUUUCUCUUUCUUACCUUUCUUUUUUUUGGUAUGGUGCUUGUACAGAGUAGGUUGGGGCUCCUCUAAUACCGUGGGGGAAUCAUUAAGAGGGGGCAUCACUAAUUCCAUACUUAGGAAUAAUUACAAAGGUGAUGGCUUCUUUAGUUAGAACUUGUUUUUUUUCAUUUCCAUCAUUUCUGAAAAUCGAAGAACCUAAUGGAUCGAACUCAUCCCUGGCUGCUAAUAAUGAAACAAAGACCUAUUAUGGAUGCCUCUCUUGCUGAACAGAAGGCUAGAUGAGAUGGGUUCUUUGUUCUGUUAUAAACUCAUCUACUGCUCAUUCGGUUUUCGAAUGAUUGAAUGGUAUUCAACAGCUCUUGGCCGAGCUCGCACUGUCGAUCGUCUUAUUUUAUUUAUUAUUUAUUAUAAGAGUUUGAUCGUCGAUCGUAUCUGAUUAUAAUGGAGCUUGACGUGGAAGGGGGGUCUGUGAGGACCAUAGUAGCAGAGUCUCCACACAACCGGAGAGACCACCUAUUUAUAUUUACAGCGUGAAAAGGUGACAGCGGAAGGGAAGAAAAGAAGUAGCAGAAUCUGUCGGCUUGCCACACAAUUGAUCCAGAGGAGAGUAUGCAGACAGACUUAUUUCUGAGAUGGAACUCAUCCCUCGACGCGGCAUUAUUUGAAAGCACACAACAUCGCCCAGAAGCUUAUAGCCCCUUAGGUCCAAUUCGAUGUGUUAAGUAUAGUGCCGUGGUUUUUCCAACGAGGGAGCGGUAUCCCAGCGGCUUAACGAAUUUGACACCGAAUUAAGUUAGGCUAAUGAAGAACCAGUUAGCUAAGUGUCUGCAGUCCGAGCUUGCUAGGCUCUCUUUACUUUACAAGUCAGAACGUCUACCGGAACGGUUAUUAUGAAACGAGAUUUCUUGCUACCUAUCGCCUAUCAUCAUGAGAAGCGUCUUCUUAUCGUCAUGAAUUGGAUCAUGUCUGCUGUGAACAAUGGGACUGAAAGCUGACAGCAAGCAUUCCUUUAGAAAGGCUAGGCACCAGAGUCAUAGCUUAUGCGAGUCUUACCUUACCACCUGGGAAAUGCACAGAAUAGGUUUUCAGGAAUUGAAUCCGAAGCAAAGAAUGCAAGCUUUGAGGGGUCCGAGUUCGUCACUCCUUGAUAACUUUCUUUUUUGACUUCUUAGCUGCUCGAAGUCGCCAUGUAGGCAGCGUAGGGACUGAUUUUGCGGCACUCUCGUUUGCAUUCUAUAGUAUAGCUCCUUUAUGUCCCGAUAACCCACGGAAUCGACUUGAUUGGGCUAUUUGAAUCUAUAUGUGUGCGGCCAAGCAAGCUAGCCAAUGCGAAGCGUUCUGUGAUUAUCUACAAUAUUAUUAGAUAGAAAUGCUCUUUUCUUCAAUAGCGCACCAAAUGCGCGCAAAGGCGGAGGGUAGGGUGAAAGAGAAGUCAAGGUCUCAGCAUCAGCUAGAAUAGAUGGUGACGGAUAUCCAAUGGAUAUUUACCACCAGAUGACUUGCAGCAAGGGACAUAUCCCUCCCGAUUAUAACAGUGGGCCUCGCCCGUCUACUACUCGACCUUCAGUAACUACAGUUAGCAGGGACUGGGGAUCCAUCCAAUCAAAAUCCAAUAGCUUACUGACUUGCUUGGGUCAUCUAAGAGGUAAGGCUCCCCCGAUCGACCCUAACUCUCAUUCUAAAGAAUUCUGGAGCUAAAGGAGUUCCCUAGC
rnacentral:misc_RNA from 1 species